AUGUGUGUUUGUGUUAACCUAUAGGUAUUAUUACAACUUUACCAUAUAGUAUUUCAUUUGUAUUCAUACACUGCAAUGGAAAGAGUUAAUUGAAUAUACCAGCCUAUAAAUACAACUAAAUACAGACAUUUCUUUAGUUUCUUUCAAAACAAGUCAUCUUUUUCUAUAUUUGUUAUGUUACCACGCUAAAACCAUUGCUAUUGGCUGUCUCCCCACGUUGCUUUGAACAUGAUUGGAUAAUCUGCCUGUCACUCAGAGAACUGGCCAAUGAGAAAUGUCCGCGCCGCGGAUUUGAAAUUACGUCUGUUUGAGCGGGAAGCCGCAGCGGGGCAGGCGCUACUCGGCAGGUCUGCUAGUGUCUGCUGUUGACCUACCUGCAUUAUUACCUGAAGUAUUUUACAUAUGCCUGCGAUUUUAACUUGUGGGAUGUCAACGGAGAAAGAAAGACUGGGACACAGAGGAAGGAUCAUACGGGAUGUGGUGACCAGCAAAGUUACGUGAAUUGAUAUCCUGCAAAAUUAUUGAAGAUAUCAGCACUGGACCCUGAGCAGUGCAUGGCCUGCAAGAUCAUGAGAAGGCUGAAGAACUAGGAGUGACAAGAUACCACUGGAUGGUGGGGCACAUAAUUCCACUCAGGGACAGUGAUCUGAAAAUGUCUGUUUACCAACGGUCCCCAUCCAACCUGACAGAGCGUGUGAGGAUCUGCAGAAAAGAAUGGCAGAACAUCCCCAAAUCCAGGGUAUUGAGUGUAGAUUGAUGAGCUCAAUAAGGAUUGGAACAACAUUGACGGGGGGAAACACCCAAAGUCCAUCACUCAUGCACCGAGGAUCUGGCUGAUUACUGGAAAUUUGGAAGAUUGUUCUUUAUCUGCACUGUCACUUCUGUUAUUAAGGAGCAGUGGGCUGCAGUGAUGCGCCCAGGAAGCAACUGGGG